rnacentral:rRNA from 1 species
ACUCAGGUGUUGUUGGGUAGGGGAGCGUUCUGUAAGCCUGUGAAGGUGGCCUGUGAGGGUUGCUGGAGGUAUCAGAAGUGCGAAUGCUGACAUAAGUAACGAUAAAGCGGGUGAAAAGCCCGCUCGCCGGAAGACCAAGGGUUCCUGUCCAACGUUAAUCGGGGCAGGGUGAGUCGACCCCUAAGGCGAGGCCGAAAGGCGUAGUCGAUGGGAAACAGGUUAAUAUUCCUGUACUUGGUGUUACUGCGAAGGGGGGACGGAGAAGGCUAUGUUGGCCGGGCGACGGUUGUCCCGGUUUAAGCGUGUAGGUGUGUGUUCCAGGUAAAUCCGGUUCACUUUAACACUGAGGCGUGAUGACGAGGCACUACGGUGCUGAAGCAACAAAUGCCCUGCUUCCAGGAAAAGCCUCUAAGCAUCAGGUAACAUCAAAUCGUACCCCAAACCGACACAGGUGGUCAGGUAGAGAAUACCAAGGCGCUUGAGAGAACUCGGGUGAAGGAACUAGGCAAAAUGGUGCCGUAACUUCGGGAGAAGGCACGCUGACACGUAGGUGAAGUGAUUUACUCAUGGAGCUGAAGUCAGUCGAAGAUACCAGCUGGCUGCAACUGUUUAUUAAAAACACAGCACUGUGCAAACACGAAAGUGGACGUAUACGGUGUGACGCCUGCCCGGUGCCGGAAGGUUAAUUGAUGGGGUCAGCGCAAGCGAAGCUCCUGAUCGAAGCCCCGGUAAACGGCGGCCGUAACUAUAACGGUCCUAAGGUAGCGAAAUUCCUUGUCGGGUAAGUUCCGACCUGCACGAAUGGCGUAAUGAUGGCCAGGCUGUCUCCACCCGAGACUCAGUGAAAUUGAACUCGCUGUGAAGAUGCAGUGUACCCGCGGCAAGACGGAAAGACCCCGUGAACCUUUACUAUAGCUUGACACUGAACAUUGAGCCUUGAUGUGUAGGAUAGGUGGGAGGCUUUGAAGCGUGGACGCCAGUCUGCGUGGAGCCGACCUUGAAAUACCACCCUUUAAUGUUUGAUGUUCUAACGUGGACCCGUGAUCCGGGUUGCGGACAGUGUCUGGUGGGUAGUUUGACUGGGGCGGUCUCCUCCUAAAGAGUAACGGAGGAGCACGAAGGUUGGCUAAUCCUGGUCGGACAUCAGGAGGUUAGUGCAAUGGCAUAAGCCAGCUUGACUGCGAGCGUGACGGCGCGAGCAGGUGCGAAAGCAGGUCAUAGUGAUCCGGUGGUUCUGAAUGGAAGGGCCAUCGCUCAACGGAUAAAAGGUACUCCGGGGAUAACAGGCUGAUACCGCCCAAGAGUUCAUAUCGACGGCGGUGUUUGGCACCUCGAUGUCGGCUCAUCACAUCCUGGGGCUGAAGUAGGUCCCAAGGGUAUGGCUGUUCGCCAUUUAAAGUGGUACGCGAGCUGGGUUUAGAACGUCGUGAGACAGUUCGGUCCCUAUCUGCCGUGGGCGCUGGAGAACUGAGGGGGGCUGCUCCUAGUACGAGAGGACCGGAGUGGACGCAUCACUGGUGUUCGGGUUGUCAUGCCAAUGGCACUGCCCGGUAGCUAAAUGCGGAAGAGAUAAGUGCUGAAAGCAUCUAAGCACGAAACUUGCCCCGAG